rfam:Amborella trichopoda AMTR_V1.0_contig_9925, whole genome shotgun sequence.
GAGAGCCGUGUGAUGGGUGACCAUCUCACACGGUUCGGGGAGUUUAUUAUGUGAUGCGAGUGAAUGUGUGCGGCAUAGCUGGCAUCAAUUCAAUUCUGACUCUAU